GAUGAACGCUAGCGGCAGGCUUAACACAUGCAAGUCGAGGGGUAUGCCGAUUUAUCGGCAGAGACCGACGCACGGGUGCGUAACGCGUAUGCAAUCUACCUUUCACAGAGGAUAGCCCAGAGAAAUUUGGAUUAAUACCUCAUAGUAUAGCAGUUUCGCAUGAAACCACUAUUAAAGUUCCAACGGUGAAAGAUGAGCAUGCGUCCCAUUAGCUAGAUGGUAAGGUAACGGCUUACCAUGGCUACGAUGGGUAGGGGUCCUGAGAGGGAGAUCCCCCACACUGGUACUGAGACACGGACCAGACUCCUACGGGAGGCAGCAGUGAGGAAUAUUGGUCAAUGGACGCAAGUCUGAACCAGCCAUGCCGCGUGCAGGAUGACGGUCCUAUGGAUUGUAAACUGCUUUUAUACAGGAAGAAACACUCCGACGUGUCGGAGCUUGACGGUACUGUAAGAAUAAGGAUCGGCUAACUCCGUGCCAG
rnacentral:rRNA from 1 species